ACUGGGGGCGGUGGGGGGGGGGCUCAGGACACGCCCAGGGACAGCAGGUUUGCCCUGUAGU
rnacentral:miRNA from 1 species